UACAGAGGCCUCAAGCGUUGUUCGGAUUCAUUGGGCGUAAAGGGUGCGUAGGCGGCGCGGUAAGUCGGGUGUGAAAUUUCGAGGCUUAACUUCGAAACUGCAUUCGAUACUGCCGUGCUUGAGGACUGGAGAGGAGACUGGAAUUUACGGUGUAGCGGUGAAAUGCGUAGAUAUCGAUAAGGAAGACCAGUGGCGAAGGCGGGUCUCUGGACAGUUCCUGACGCUGAGGCACGAAGGCCAGGGGAGCAAACGGG
rnacentral:rRNA from 1 species